GAUUCUAAUUGUUAAGUUCGGGUUCGCGCAGUUUGGACUUAAAUCGAUUAAAAGAGUUCUAAUCAAGUUGGGUCAACUCGCACUCACACCUAUUGCUGGCUAAGUAUGGAACCCAAUGGGUCACACACAAGAAAAUUUAUCAAGGGUCUAAUUGGAUUAGAUCAUGUUUGCAAGAUAAACAUCCUAGCAGGUGUUGCAAACCUUAGUUCCUGAUUCGAACUGGAUUCGAAUCUGAUUCGAACUGGAUUCGAAUCUGAUUCUUAAUUGAUCUAAUUUGAUUAGAUCAUAUUCUAAUAUGGGUUAGCCAAGAGUUGGCACCUAAAUUGGCUUGAUUUGAGUCUAAUUGGAUU
rnacentral:lncRNA from 1 species